GCAGAUGUAGUUCAAUGGUAGAACGCAACCUUGCCAAGGUCGAGACGCGAGUUCGAUUC
rnacentral:tRNA from 1 species